rnacentral:rRNA from 1 species
UACGAAGGGGGCUAGCGUUGCUCGGAAUUACUGGGCGUAAAGGGCGCGUAGGCGGCACUGUUAGUCAGGCGUGAAAUUCCUGGGCUCAACCUGGGGACUGCGCUUGAUACGGCAGAGCUUGAGGAUGGAAGAGGGUCUCGGAAUUCCCAGUGUAGAGGUGAAAUUCGUAGAUAUUGGGAAGAACACCGGUGGCGAAGGCGGCGACCUGGUCCAUUACUGACGCUGAGGCGCGACAGCGUGGGGAGCAAACAGG